UUUCCGUGUUCCCCUCCUCUCUUUUAGAAACAGCAUCCCAAAAGUUUUAGCUGGGCAGUUCGGCUCAGCUGGAGAGUGUAUUUCCCAGCUUCCCUUGCAGUUAGGUGUGGUUAUGUGACAUAUUUGAGCCAAUAGGAUGUGAGCUAAUGUGAGAAUGCACAAAUUCUGGGCCUUAAAGCCUAAGCUAUGUUUCCUAAAUGUCCCUCUUCCUCCUUCCCACUGGCUGGAAAAUGGCGAUAACUUGAAGCCACAGGUGCAGGAGGGUAAGACUGUUCUCCCUGUCCUGGCCUGCUCACUCCAGACACAGGAUUUCCCCAACUUUUGGAAAGGCUACAGCUCAUAUGCAAGUGCAAAAUGCUGUCUGGAGAAGACAUGCUGGAAAGGGAGAGAGAAGGAGUUGACAUGUUAUUGGCAUGGAGUCAAUAAUGCAAAGGGUAAGAAAUUUAGAGUAUUUCAGAUGGAAGAACAACUUUGGAUCUGGGAUAUCAAGGAAGAGAAACAGAAAUCACAGCAGACAUCAUAUUCAAAUGGUCAUAUGCCAUAGACAUACCAUUUGAGAAAAAAAUUUUUUGUACCC
rnacentral:lncRNA from 1 species